AAAUUGUUUCUUCUCACACAGUUGAUGAAUACAUAAUAUAUGAUAUCGGGCUAUACGUUCGUGACAAGCAACUGCAUCCAAAUCACGACAAUUCUGAAGUGUAAAAUCCUGUCGAAUAGAUCGAGUACGGUCACGUACAAAGAAAUGUGUAUUCUCAAGUGGAUCAGGACCACAGACUAUUUUAUCAACCAAAUAAUCGAGCGAUUUCUAAGUCAUGUGUGAAUAAAAAUGCAACUGAGAAAGAAAAAAUAGAUAACAUCCU